GGUUCGAUUAUGGCUCAGAUUGAACGCUGGCGGAUGUUACACAUGCAAGUCGAACGGCAGCACGGACUUCGGUCUGGUGGCGAGUGGCGAACGGGUGAGUAAUGUAUCGGAACGUGCCUAGUAGCGGGGGAUAACUACGCGAAAAGCGUAGCUAAUACCGCAUACGCCCUUCGGGGGAAAGUAACCUUUCGGGCCUGGCACUAUUAGAGCGGCCGAUAUCGGAUUAGCUAGUUGGUGGGGUAACGGCUCACCAAGGCGACGAUCCGUGGCUGGUUUGAGAGGACGACCAGCCACACUGGGACUGGAGACACGGCCCAGACUCACGGGAGGCAGCAGUGGGGAAUUUUGGACAAUGGGGGAAACCCCGAUCCAGCCAUCCCGCGUGUGCGAUGAAGGCCUUCGGGUUGUAAAGCACUUUUGGCAGGAAAGAAACGGCACGGGAUAAUACCCCGUGCAACUGACGGUACCUGCAGAAUAAGCACCGGCUAACUACGUGCCAGCAGCCGCGGUAAUACGUAGGGUGCAAGCGUUAAUCGGAAUUACUGGGCGUAAAGCGUGCGCAGGCGGUUCGGAAAAGAAAGUGAUGCGGAACCUAACUUUUGAACUGCAUUUUUAACUACCGAGCUAGAGUGUGUCAGAGGGAGGUGGGAAUUCCGCGUGUAGCAGUGAAUGCGACAUGCGAGGAACACCACGGCAGCAAUUCCUGGAUAACACUAGACGCCAGGCACGAAGUGUGGAGGCAAAACAGAUUAUAUCCGCAAGAAAUUACACCAACGUGGAUAUCAACUAGCUGUUAAAGCCUUUUCUGGCCUUUGUAAAUGCAAGCCAACGCGAAGUUGACUGUCAGAAAAUAAUCGCAGACAAAACCGUGUGAAUUGACGGGAUCGCACGCAGUGUGGAUGAUGUGGAUUAACUGAUGCCAACGCGAAAAACCUUAUCUACCCUUUGACAUAGUCUGAACUCCGAAGAGAUUGGUGAGUGCUGCAAAGAGAACCGAACACAGGCGCUGCAUGGCUGUCGUCAGCUCGUGUCGAGAUGUUGGGUUAAGUCCCGCAACGAGCGCAACCCUUGUCAUUAGUUGCUACGAAAGGGCACUUAAUGUGAGACUGCCGGUGACGAACCGGAGGAAGGUGGGGAUGACGUCAAGUCCUCAUGGCCCUUAUGGGUAGGGCUUCACACGUCAUACAAUGGUCGGGACAGAGGGUCGCCAACCCGCGAGGGGGAGCAAUCCCAGAAACCCGAUCGUAGUCCGGAUCGCAGCCUGCAACUCGACUGCGUGAAGUCGAAUCGCUAGUAAUCGCGGAUCAGCAUGUCGCGGUAAUACGUUCCCGGGUCUUGUACACACCGCCCGUCACACCAUGGAGUGGGUUUUACCAGAAGUAGUUAGCCUAACCGUAAGGAGGGCGAUUACCACGGUAGGAUUCAUGACUGGGGUGAAGUCGUAACAUGUAA
rnacentral:rRNA from 1 species